AUUGAACGCUGGCGGAAUGCUUUACACAUGCAAGUCGAGCGGCAGCGCGGGGGCAACCCUGGCGGCGAGCGGCGAACGGGUGAGUAACAUAUCGGAACGUACCCCGUCGUGGGGGAUAACACAGCGAAAGCUGUGCUAAUACCGCAUACGACCUGAGGGUGAAAGCGGGGGAUCGCAAGACCUCGCGCGAUGGGAGCGGCCGAUAUCGGAUUGGCUUGUUGGUGAGGUAAAGGCUCACCAAGGCGACGAUCCGUAGCUGGUCAGAGAGGACGACCAGCCACACUGGAACUGAGACACGGUCCAGACUCCUACGGGAGGCAGCAGUGGGGAAUUUUGGACAAUGGGGGCAACCCUGAUCCAGCCAUUCCGCGUGAGUGAAGAAGACCUUCGGGUUGUAAAGCUCUUUCAGCAGGAACGAAACGGUGGCCACUAAUACUGGCUACUAAUGACGGUACCUGAAGAAGAAGCACCGGCUAACUACGUGCCAGCAGCCGCCGUAAGAC
rnacentral:rRNA from 1 species